rnacentral:lncRNA from 1 species
UGUGUGCAUGCCUGUGUGCAGACAGCUGUAGUACGGAGCCUUUGGGUCAGAGCUCUGACUCCCCACCUGGUCUGGAGGCAGCCCUGGUCAGCCCCAAGAUUCCCGAGAGGAUGGGCCUGCUUCUUUUUCUCUAAGAUGAGGACAAGGAGCUGGAAGCAGGCUGCGGACCAUCAGGAUCUGUCAGCAGCCCCUAGACAGCACUGCCCACCAGACCCAUCUUCCUGGGCACACAGCUGGACUACGUUCCCCAGCCUUUCUUGCACUGAGAUGUGGCCAGUUCAGGCCAGUGGAAUCCGAGUGGAAGGGAGUGAGCCACUUUCAGUCCUGGGCCCUGCAAGCUUCCCGCACAUGCUCUCCCUGCACCUCGGCUGGCUGAUGCCUGAGAUCACAGAGACUCUGGGAGGCCCGUGCUGAAGGUGGUAGAACCUCAAGACAGAGGAGCCAGGAUCCCUAAAUCAUUCUGGACACAAAGCUCUAGCUACCUACUUAUUUUGAGUGUUUUUUUUAAAUAGGAGGAAGGAAUAAGCUUCUAUCAUGUUUGAGCCUUGCUGUGUGUGAAAAAAAUAAAUGAGGAAUUUGGUCCCCUCUCCUCUACCUCCCCAUGUGGGACAACCCAGAAAAGCAGGGAAGAGGGGUCUGGAACUCAGAAAAGAGGGUUGGAAGGGGAACAGCUCUGGUGAAGGGAGAGGAACAGGAUGUUACCCAUGAAGCUGAAGUUAGAUAUGUAGCGUUUGACUUCCAAUUUGAAGCUGUUCCUGAACCUGUCGUCUGCCUUCCCCAAACCACCAUGACAAGUGUGCAAGACUCCAAGGCCUUGUGUGGUCAGAGGCUUGGGAAAAUGUAAACAAAAGCGCCACACGUGGGUGAGGCCAGGGGGAUCUGGGCCUGGGGAGGGGGCCUGUGCAGACAGUGCUUACCACAGUGACAAGGAAAGGGUUAAGGGGGUCUGUGAGCAGGAUUGGCUCUCCUCACAGUGAGGGUAGUAAAAUCAGCAUGUCGCC